UCGUGGCGCUCGUGUUUCUGUGGAUGUCUAAUUUGUGUUCUCUUCCCGUGUACAGACCCUACUGGACGCUUCCCUAUUUUCCCUUGUCUUUGACGUGAGUUUGGAUAUUCGUAUGUGGACGUCGUGUAUCGCACAAAAGAGAACGUGUGAGGGACUGGCGAUUGAGAAGAGGAGUUUUGGACGUGUUCAUUUUUCCCUGGAUUCCCGGGAGCACUAAUUGCCCUGCACGGUUGUUUAUAGCGCCUGGUGUCACUGUAAAUAAACUCUCUUUAAUUGAAACCUUAGUUCUGCGCUAGAGUCCGCUCGUUCACCUUGACGGGAUCAGAAAUUACAAUUUCUUUCAGUUUCUAUUCUUGGUCAUGGAUGGUUUUGUGCGAAAAAAACUGACUGAAUGGAAACUAAGUGACUGGAUUGAGGCAUUUGAAGCUCAAGAAAUUGAUAAGGAAAGUCUGUAUCUUCUCAAUGAUCAGGAAAUUGAUCAAUUGAUCACAAAAGCUGGACCUAGAGUAAAAUUCAAGGAUAAACUAAAGCUGUUAAAGGAAGAGCAAAAUACAACUCAACCACAAAAAGAAGCCGUCAAUACUUCUGGUCAA